rnacentral:snRNA from 1 species
AUACCUUUCUCGGCCUUUUGGCUAAGAUCAAGUGUAGUAUCUGUUCUUGCUACUGAAAUCCUCGAGCGUCGCCUAUGCGUUGCACUACAGCAUUGGCCUGGCGCACCCCAC